GGGGAAUAUUGCACAAUGGGCGCAAGCCUGAUGCAGCAACGCCGCGUGAGGGACGACGGCCUUCGGGUUGUAAACCUCUUUUAGCAGGGAAGAAGCGAAAGUGACGGUACCUGCAGAAAAAGCACCGGCUGACUACGUGCCAGCAGCCGCGGUAAUACGUAGGGUGCAAGCGUUAUCCGGAAUUAUUGGGCGUAAAGAGCUCGUAGGCGGUUUGUCGCGUCUGCUGUGAAAACCCGAGGCUCAACCUCGGGCCUGCAGUGGGUACGGGCAGACUAGAGUGCGGUAGGGGAGAUUGGAAUUCCUGGUGUAGCGGUGGAAUGCGCAGAUAUCAGGAGGAACACCGAUGGCGAAGGCAGAUCUCUGGGCCGUAACUGACGCUGAGGAGCGAAAGCAUGGGGAGCGAAC
rnacentral:rRNA from 1 species